rnacentral:rRNA from 1 species
GACGAACGCUGGCGGCGUGCUUAACACAUGCAAGUCGAACGGAAAGGCCCUGCUUUUGUGGGGUGCUCGAGUUGCGAACGGGUGAGUAACACGUGAGUAACCUGCCCUUGACUUUGGGAUAACUUCAUGAAACUUGGGCUAAUACCGGAUAGGAGCUCCUGCUUCAUGGUGGGGGUUGGAAAGUUUCGGCGGUUGGGGAUGGACUCGCGGCUUAUCAGCUUGUUGGUGGGGUAGUGGCUUACCAAGGCUUUGACGGGUAGCCGGCCUGAGAGGGUGACCGGCCAAAUUGGGACUGAGAUACGGCCCAGACUACUACGGGAGGCAGCAGUGGGGAAUAUUGCACAAUGGGCGGAAGCCUGAUGCAGCAACGCCGCGUGCGGGAUGACGGCCUUCGGGUUGUAAACCGCUUUCGCCUGUGACGAAGCGUGAGUGACGGUAAUGGGUAAAGAAGCACCGGCUAACUACGUG